rnacentral:rRNA from 1 species
GAACGCUGGCGGCGUGCUUAACACAUGCAAGUCGAGCGGUAAGGCCCUUCGGGGUACACGAGCGGCGAACGGGUGAGUAACACGUGGGUGAUCUGCCUCGCACUCUGGGAUAAGCCUGGGAAACUGGGUCUAAUACCGGAUAUGACCACGGAUCGCAUGGUUUGUGGUGGAAAGAUUUAUCGGUGCGAGAUGGGCCCGCGGCCUAUCAGCUUGUUGGUGGGGUAAUGGCCUACCAAGGCGACGACGGGUAGCCGGCCUGAGAGGGCGACCGGCCACACUGGGACUGAGACACGGCCCAGACUCCUACGGGAGGCAGCAGUGGGGAAUAUUGCACAAUGGGCGAAAGCCUGAUGCAGCGACGCCGCGUGAGGGAUGACGGCCUUCGGGUUGUAAACCUCUUUCGACAGGGACGAAGCGCAAGUGACGGUACCUGUAGAAGAAGCACCGGCCAACUACGUGCCAGCAGCCGCGGUAAUACGUAGGGUGCGAGCGUUGUCCGGAAUUACUGGGCGUAAAGAGCUUGUAGGCGG